AUAAAGAAGAAAGAAGAUAACAAAAAAUAUAAAGUGUUAUCGUAUAAAAAGAAGAAAAUAGGGGUUUUGGUUGGUGUCUUGUCGACAAUUGGAUAUCAACUUGAAGAAUCUACAAAAAAAAAAAAAUAAAAAAAUACUUUUAAAUCUUUAAGAAGAAAGAAGAAAGAAGAAACAAGAAUAUAUAUAUAUAUAUAAAUAAAAAAAAAAAAAA